rnacentral:tRNA from 1 species
GCCUGCGUGGCUCAGUCAGUUAGGCAUCUGACUUUGGCUCAGGUCAUGAUCUCACAGUCUGUGGGUUCAAGUCCCACAUUGGGCU